AGCGUCCAGUCGCAAUCAUGUUGAGGAGACACAGGGGACUGGAACUUGCUUUCCCACUCGAGCUAUGAAGACGGGCACCUUCUUCUAUGAAGAAUCACCUUCUGUUGGAACUGUUCAUAAUGGCUUAGGUCUUCACAGAGAGCUUUCUUCAAGAGAAAACUCAAUGUUCUUUUCCUCAUUCCCAUGGACUUCAGAUGCCAACUUGGAGACCUACUUGACUGAGGUCUUGCUGAAUUAGAAUCUGGAUGCUCUUCUCUAGAAAAGCUUCUCCUCUAGGAUCCACUGAUGAGGCAGAUAUAAAUCAAGAUAUACUUUGGACAGCAUCAUCACAAUAUGUACCAUUUUUGAAAAAUUCUAUGAUCUGAAAUACUUUUAAGUGGAUCUUGCAAAUAAAAAGCAGUUUUACCUCCUUAGACUAUAGAAAUAUCAGCAAACAGAUCCCAUUUGGAUGCAUGGAUGCAUUUAGUUGUACUGUCUCUGAAAACCCUUUCAGUCUGGAAC